CUACGUGCCAGCAGCCGCGGUAAUACGGAAGGUCCCGGCGUUAUCCGGAUUUAUUGGGUUUAAAGGGAGCGCAGACUGCUUGUCAAGCGUGCAGUGAAACGCCGUGGCCCAACCACGGUCCUGCUGCGCGAACUGGCUUGCUUGAGUGGGCCGUAGGUACGCGGAAUUCGUGGUGUAGCGGUGAAAUGCUUAGAUAUCACGAGGAACUCCGAUUGCGAAGGCAGCGUACCAUAUCCCAACUGACGUUUAGGCUCGAAGGUGCGGGUAUCGAACAGGAUUAGAUACCCUGGUAGUCCGCACAGUAAACCAUGGAUGCUCGCUGUCGGCGAUAAAUUGCCGGUGGCCUAGCGAAAGCGUUAAGCAUCCCACCUGGGGAGUACGCCGGCAACGGUGAAACUCAAAGGAAUUGACGGGGGCCCGCACAAGCGGAGGAACAUGUGGUUUAAUUCGAUGAUACGCGAGGAACCUUACCCGGGCUUGAA
rnacentral:rRNA from 1 species